rnacentral:rRNA from 1 species
AUUAUGGCUCAGAACGAACGCUGGCGGCGUGCUUAACACAUGCAAGUCGAACGCGAAAGGGACUUCGGUCCUGAGUAAAGUGGCGCACGGGUGAGUAACGCGUAGAUAACCUGUCUUCAUGUCUGGAAUAAUACGCCGAAAGGGGUACUAAUACCGGAUAUUCUUGCUUUUCAUAAGUUAUGCAAGCAAAGGUGGCCUCUGCAUAUGCUACUGCAUGAAGAGGGGUCUGCGUACCAUUAGCUAGUAGGUGGGGUAAUGGCCUACCUAGGCGACGAUGGUUAGCGGGUCUGAGAGGAUGAUCCGCCACACUGGCACUGGAACACGGGCCAGACUCCUACGGGAGGCAGCAGUGAGGAAUAUUGCGCAAUGGGGGAAACCCUGACGCAGCGACGCCGCGUGAGUGAGGAAGGCCUUCGGGUCGUAAAGCUCUGUCAAGAGGAAAGAAGUGUACAAUGGCUAAUACCUGUUGUAUUUGACGGUACCUCUAAAGGAAGCACCGGCUAACUCCGUGCCAGCCGCGGC